GCCUUCCCAGGGUAUCUGGUGCAACUCCCGUCUGCUGAUCCGGACGCAAAACUCCGGGGGACCGUCGGCAAAUGUAUCAUUAGCAAAGGAAACCAAAACAACUCCUUAGGGCAGCUAGGAAACCUGAAAAAAUUGUAUGGUAGGAAAUGGAAGAAGUUAGUGAGCAGUACCGGCAGUUGAGAAGCGAGAACCACCCGACUCUUCCUUGCUAAGCUGCUUCUAGACUACUAACUGCCUGAACAUUCCAUCCAGGGAAGGGAAGCCAUAAGCCACAAGCUUAGCCUAUUUGCUUAAAACUUAUUCUAAAGGCUUCCCUGAUGUUCAGAGAUAAUUCCUGCUGUUCCUGUUACUUCCUGCCAAAACAGCAAGCACUAACAAUAAAUAGCUUGCAUACUUC
rnacentral:lncRNA from 1 species